GAUGAACGCUGACAGAAUGCUUAACACAUGCAAGUCAACUUGAAUUUGGGUUUUUAACUUAGGUUUGGGUGGCGGACGGGUGAGUAACGCGUAAAGAACUUGCCUCACAGCUAGGGACAACAUUUGGAAACGAAUGCUAAUACCUAAUAUUAUGAUAAUAGGGCAUCCUAUAAUUAUGAAAACUAUAAGCGCUGUGAGAGAGCUUUGCGUCCCAUUAGCUAGUUGGAGAGGUAACGGCUCACCAAGGCGAUGAUGGGUAGCCGGCCUGAGAGGGUGAUCGGCCACAAGGGGACUGAGACACGGCCCUUACUCCUACGGGAGGCAGCAGUGGGGAAUAUUGGACAAUGGACCGAGAGUCUGAUCCAGCAAUUCUGUGUGCACGAUGAAGUUUUUCGGAAUGUAAAGUGCUUUCAGUUGGGAAGAAACAAAUGACGGUACCAACAGAAGAAGUGACGGCUAAAUACGUG
rnacentral:rRNA from 1 species